AGCCUACGCGCAGUUUCCUUACCGAUGGCAAGCUGGUCACCAGUGAUCAUCUUGACAGCAACACCAAGUUCAAGAGCUUUGCGGAUAGUUUCAGCACUGUCGUGCCUUGGGGGAUCAAAAAGGGGCAAAAGACCAACAAAUUCCCAAGGUGAGCCUUCACUUUCCUUGCUCUUCUCAGGUACAGUCUGCAUAAAUUCCACGUAAUCAUAGUUAAUUCACAACAAUCAUUGAUAUGUUGAAUUGAUCCAAACAAGUUAAUUGCUUACCUGUCUUGCCAAACCCAAGGAACGAAGGCCACGGUUGGCAUAGUCGUCAAUGAUAUCUAAGGCCUUCUUCCUGACAUCUCCCUUGAGAUCGCAAAGUUCAAUAAUCUGGCGAAAAAUGGCAUGUGAGAUGACAUGCACUGAAAAUACAUAAAGUAAAGGGAAAUAUAGAAGCACAAUCUCACUUGUUCGGGAGCUCCUUUGCUAGCCCUGUGCCAGUUUCCUUUGUCAUCAAUAUAGGUAAUGGCUGUGCGUUUUUCAACUGGAUUGAAAGGCAAGAAGUGAACCUCUUGGAUGCCUGCUCUUGCCUGCAAUGUGACAAAGAAACAUAAAUGGUCAGUUUACAACUUCUUGGAAUAGUGAAAAAUGUACUAAACCCACCUAACAACAAAACAUAUUACCUCUUUAGGAUCACCCAACAUGUUAACGAUACAAGUAUCAAUAGCAUCUUGGUUUUCGAUCCUUGAAGCCCUAGCACCAAGCAACAUAACGGUGUCCUUGGUCGCAUCUUUAGGGAAAACCUACAACCACCAUUAAGCAUUGAUUACACCUUAGACUUAAUUCUUUCUAAGACAACAAGACUAUAACAAUCGAGAUCCCUUAUUACCAACCUCAAUUAAGUUUUUGUCAACAGUGAGCUUGUUGAGGGUGAGGGUACCGGUUUUGUCACUGCAAAGAACAUCCAUACCAGCCAUUUCCUCAAUAGCAGUCAUCCUCUUAGUAAUGGCACCUUGUUGUGCAAGCCUAUGAGAUCCGAUAGCCAUGGUCACAGACAAGACUGUUGGCAUGGCAAUUGGGAUACCUCCGAUGAGCAACACAAGCAAGUUGUCGAUUCCAUCUCUGUAUUUUCGCUGCUGAAUUGGGUACAUCACUAUUAUCUCAAUCACCAUUCCCACAGCAAUAGAGCAAAUACAGAAGUUUCCGAUGGCUGUCAACACCUGGGAUCAUCAUCACAAUUUAGAAAAAUCCUCACUCACACUAAGUGAUUCUUUUAAUUUGUAUCACAAAACACAUUUCUUUUACCUUCUGGAAAUGGCCAACAUUGUUUGUGCUGUCUACAAGAUGAGCAGCCUUUCCAAAGAAAGUGUGAACACCAGUUGCAAUGACAACUGCCUCGAUUUCUCCUUGCUUGACAGUGGAACCAGAGAAAACCUCAGCACCAGGGAACUUUGUCGCGGGCAAUGACUCACCAGUGAGAGCAGCCUGAUCAACCUUUAAAGGAUCACCCUCGAGAAGCCGAGCAUCGGCUGGGACGAUAUCUCCCAACUUAAUGCUAAUUAUAUCACCUGGAACCAAGAUUGAGGCCUCCUCUUCUGACCAUUUUCCAUCUCUCAAAAUCUGGGAUUGAUAACAUUACAUAUAACAUCGAUAAAUAAAUCGAGGACUAAAAUGGACGAUGAAAUUUAAAUCUUGUAUUCGCCACUGGAAAAUGGAUUAUUGGGUACCUUAGUUUUGGGAGCAAGAUUAGCCAUAAGGGCAGAUGCAGCAUUUCCUGCACUGUUUUCCUCAAUAAAACUGAUGGUAGAGUUGAUGAUGAGCAAUACUGUGAUACCAACGAAAUCUGGCCAAUCUGGUGGUUUGCCCUGUAAUUUUAUUUUCAAGAUUUCACCAUUACUAAAUCAAACACUAUCUGGACAUGUAAAAAAUUAGAAUACAAAUCAAGGAUUGUGGUAGAGUGGUAUGUACUCCUUCAUCGUUUUCGAGCCUUAGGUUUGAAAGGGAACGUUUUAUUCCCAUUCUGACCUCGACAAGGGAAGUCACUUUUAUUAGGGAACGUUUUUUCCCUCAACUCAAGAUAUUUCAACACGUAGUCGAUUUAUGGAAAGUCACAUUUCUUAGGGAGUGUUUUACCCCCUCCAUGUGCAACUUUUGACAGCCUCAAUAUGGGAACUGACCUUUCUGAGGGAGCAUUUCCCCCGAUAUGGGACUUUCCAACACGAAUUCGAGUUAGACUCAAAUACAAGUAUCAGACAUCAAGUGGAAAAUCAAUAAAUAAAUAAAUAUGAAAAAUAAGUGAUUGUAAUUACUCCUCCAUUGGCCAACACAAUAGCCAUGAUAGCAGCACACUCCAUAACCCAUGAGAGAGGAUUCCACAUGAACCCCAAGAAUUUGAGAAGCUUGUUCUCCUACAAUAGAUUAAAAUCAUAGGUAACAAUUAAUACACAUAUUCAAGAUUUUAUUAAAAAAAAAAAAAUAUGAAGAUUUUUUGAAAUAAUAAUACUUUUUUCUCUUCAAGUUUGUUGGGGCCAAAAAUUUCAAGCCUUUUUUGGCCCUCAGCAGAUGACAAUCCCUCUUUGCUACAUUUUAGCUGCUGGAACACUUCCUCCACUGGAAUGUUUUCCUGUAACAAUCAUUCAAUCACAUUAAUUUUUUUUAUCGUCGAUAUAGAUUAUUUAAAUUACUAAAGUUAAUAUAUAUAGAUUUUGAACUCGCUAAUGCCAGAAAUGUAAAGGCCUUUAUGACUAGGAGUAUUUUUAGUUUUAUUAGAAUAAAAAGAUGUAAGAAUAUAGGUGAAAAAAAGAAAUGUCACUUACAAGGUCAAUUUGCUCAUUCUUGAUAUCUUCCAAAGAUAAAUUAGAUGCCAUGAUGUCAAUAAUUUAUCAAGAGGAACCAAGAAAAGCAAAAAAAAAAAAAUUAUUCAAAACAUGGAAAAAGAUGAGAAAGAGUGUUUUGUUGUAUUUUAUUUAUUUAUUUUUUACUUUAUUUUUUGGAAACAUAAAAUACAACAAAACGCCUGCUUUCAUCUACCUCUUUGGAUCUCCUUUUAUAGAUAAAUUGGUCUAUGGCCACCUUUGAAAAUGUCUAGAGAAAAGGAGAAACCUUAAAAAUAUUCCCCCCCUUAAAAGAUGGAUCAUCUUACAAUAAUUAUUUUUUAUUUUUUGAAAAAAUUAUUACUAUUUUAUUGGUUAUUUUGUUUUGUGCUUCCUUCUCCUUGUAAAUUUCCUUGUUUUUUUUAAAAAAAAGUUUGACCUAAUUUUUUCCACUACAAAAUAACUUCUACUAGACUAUCUUGUAAGGAAAUUGUUAUAAUUUAGAUUUUGAUUUGUUAUACAUACUACAUAAACAUUACUUAGUGGGUCUUACUAGAAUGUAUGCGUCCACUAUCAAUCGCUGAAUAGAUUUUUUGACUUGGCAAAAAUAGUAGCUGAAGUAAAUGUGUGGAAAAUAAAUUGCUCAUAUUAAAUUAGGCACAAUAAAUUUUACAUGGAAAUCUCCUUGCUCAAGGAAGUAAAAUCACAACAUGUCACACAAAACUUUCAACUGUUUUCACUAUCUUCUCAAGCAAAAGUGAAACACAGAUUACAACCACCAAUGAGAUAAAACUCUUAGUCUUAACACUAAGUAAUACGUCUAUUACUUACAUAGCCUAAGUAAUUAUCCUAUUUCCAACAAAAUCAACCAACUCUAGUUGAUCUAGACUUUAAGAACCCCACAAGGCUAAUUCUAGCCACCAACUCCGAUCUCCAAGACAAGAGCUAAACAAGCAGCAACUCUGUUGCAUCCAAGCAUCAACUAAUUCUAGUUGACACUCCUAGACAACUCUACCCAAGAGAACAUCAAAAUAUUGAUGUAAAAAAGCUUGACUAAGACAAAGAUGAUUCGACUAACGACUCAACCUAAAGACUUAGACAGACAACUAAUCUACUAUCCUUUAUAACUUAACAGUAAAUUUACAAUGUAAGCACAUAAGUCACAAAGCUUGAAAUACAACAAAGACUCUUCAACACUCUAUCAUGUCCAUUUGUUGCGUUGAGCAGUGUUCUUCCUUGAAGAUGACGUUUUCUUUGUAAGCAUAAGAAUUUCGUUUGUCAAAUCUUAAGUUUGUGUUUUGUGAGAAGAGUCUAUACCAAAUGAACACGAACUCUUUGAGACGACCCAUUGUCUAAUUGUCGUCCUUUUAACAUGCACAGUCUUGCAGGGACUAGAUCUCUUUCAAUGUGUUCUUUGUGAGUUCUUGAGAAAACAUUUGUUUGGUUAGUUUAUCUUUUCCUUUACUUCUUUUUUUUUAAAAAAAAAUUGUACGAGCAAAUAAGUUGCAAGCUUCUUUGUUUAUAUAUAUAUAUAUAUAUAUAUAUAUAUAUAUAUAUAUAUAUUAUUAUUAUUAUUAUUAUUAUUAUUAUCAUUAUUAUUAUUAUUAUUAUUGUUAUUAUUAAAAGUGGAAAGCUUUAAAUUUUAAAAUUAGAUUACCAUUUUACCUAUAUACUAAAUUUAAAUAUUAUAAAACAUCUAAAUUAAUUAAAUAUUAAAUCAUAAUCAUAUUUCACACGUCAAAUUAACUAUUUUAUUGUAACAAUAUGGAAAUAUAAUUUUCAUUAAUCGCUUUUAAGUUUUAAAAAUAGUUUUGUAUUUAAUUGCUUUAGAUGCUCAACUCAAAUGACUCCAGUGUGGGAUCAAUAGUCACCUUUUGCUCUGAUUUUAUUUCUGAAAAAUUCUUCAUAUAAUUAAUCACAUAUUUUUUUAUUUAUUAUAAUUUUGAGAUUAUACAUUUUACAUCUAUAUUGUUAUGAUUAAAAUCUUAAGAAAAAUAUGUAUAAUGUAUCUUUUCUUCUCUAUUUCUUUUUGUGUGUUUCCUUUUUAUUAGACUUGUUAAAUUUUAUAAUUUAUGAAUUUCUGCUUGUAUUUUUAUUUCAGCUCAUCUAUAAUAAUUUAUAUGGGACACACGUGUAGGCCGAAACGAGUAGAAAAUAGAUAUAAGAAGGAGCAAUAUAUCUCAUUGAAAUUUAAAAAUUGUGGAGACAAAACAAAUUUGGCCUAGAAAAAUAAAAUUUAAUACGUACGAUAUAUAAUAACUAUAAGGAUAUGAUAAUAACUAGUAAUUACAAUUUCUUUUUAUGCACAGCUAGCCUUUGUUCUUCGGCCAAAUGCUAUAAUCUUCAUCCAACAACAUGCCAGCAGCAAAAACUGUCCUUCCUUGUGUGGAGAAAAAUUUAAGUUAAAUUGAUUUCUACUUCUUUAGACAGUGUAGUGUUGUUGGAUGGUUUCAAUAUCUAGUCCCUUUAGCUUGACAACUGAUUCAACAUGUCCCUUAAGUGUGUGGAGCUCCCUCAGCCUUGCAACUUCAGCACGACGUUUAGCUUGUUCAGCAAUCUCAGACAGUUCCCUGUAGUUCUUGUCGUUGAAUAGGCCAGCGGCUUCAGGUGUCUGGAGACCAUGAAGUGUACGUUGAGCUAGAGCCCAUUGUGCUUCUCUCUCACCCCUUCCAUAGUCCUUCUUGGUUGUGAAGGCAGUCUAAGGUAUUCGACAAACAUAAAUACUAAUUAGUUAAGAAUUAAAUUCAAUGAAUUUUUCUACAUGUCAUGGUAACUUGUUGCUUGUGUUUACCUUGUUUUGGAUCAUUGUGUCCCAUGCCCUUCCACUCAAGCCGAAACGGAUGAUGAAUUUAAGAACAUCUUGAGGUAAAUAGGUAAUAAUAGUGUAGACCCAGAUGACUGCUGCCCAUCCCCAGCCAACUCCCUUGAUCCUGGCGAAUUCCCAGUCUGCAUAUACAGCAAGCACUGUUGCAACCUGAAAGUUAUGAAUUUUGGUUAGCUGUAUAUUCAAUAGGAGUACUUUUAAGUCGAAUAAUUCAUUCAGGUUGUCGUAUUACAAUACUCACCAAUUGGGCUGCAAAGAAAGCUCCUACGAGCAUAAGGCCAGGGCGUUCCACAAAAGACCAGCUUCGUGACCUGGUAACGAAGAUGAGAGCUUGACUGAUGAUACUCACUUGAAGGUAAAGUGCAGCUGUAAGCUCAUAUGGAGAGUUUCUGAUUGAUCGAACAUGGAAGUUUUCCUACAUGAAUAUGACGAUUUUGUUAGUGUAUUUUCAUUUUGUGUUUCAUGUUAGGGGGAGAAUCUUAAUACUUACAGUGAAGAAAUCAGUGUCAGCUGCAAGGUAGAAGAACACAACAGUCAUGACAGCUUGGUAGGUUCCGAGGACAACACCAGUGGCGAAGAUUUCAUUGAGUUUCCAUGAGUCGGGCAAUGGAGAUGGCACAACCCUGUCCUUGGAGAUGGUCAUGAUGGUUCCAUCAUUGAGUAUGGCAAUGAUAAGGACCAUGAAGGGAGAGAAGUCGAACUUCCAGAUAAGGGCAAUGAGCAUGAAUCCCAUCACAACACGAAUUGUGAUGGAAACUGCAUAGAUUGUGUAGUUCUUCAUCCUUUGGAAGAUGGCUCUGCUUGUCAACACAGCGCUCACAAUGACACUAAGACCUGGCUCAGUCAAGACAAUAUCAGAUGCACUUCUAGCAGCGUCUGUUGCAUCAUCCACAGCAAUACCAAUGUCUGCCUUCUUGAGUGCUGGUGCAUCAUUCACUCCAUCUCCUGUCAUACCACAGAUGUGUUUCCUAUCUUGGAGCUUCUUCACGAUCUCGUAUUUAUGCUCUGGGAAGACUCCAGCAAAACCAUCUGCCUUUUCAAUUAGCUCAUCGACAGGAAUUGUAGCAAUAGCUGCAUCCUUGUGCUCUCCAAGAAGAGCUGAAGAAGGAUACAUGUUGGUUCCCAUGCCAAGCCUACGCGCAGUUUCCUUACCGAUGGCAAGCUGGUCACCAGUGAUCAUCUUGACAGCAACACCAAGUUCAAGAGCUUUGCGGAUAGUUUCAGCACUGUCGUGCCUUGGGGGAUCAAAAAGGGGCAAAAGACCAACAAAUUCCCAAGGUGAGCCUUCACUUUCCUUGCUCUUCUCAGGUACAGUCUGCAUAAAUUCCACGUAAUCAUAGUUAAUUCACAACAAUCAUUGAUAUGUUGAAUUGAUCCAAACAAGUUAAUUGCUUACCUGUCUUGCCAAACCCAAGGAACG
rnacentral:lncRNA from 1 species